AGUUGAUCAUGGCUCAGAAUCAACGCUGGCGGCGUGCCUAACACAUGCAAGUCGAACGCGAAAGGGGAGCAAUCCCUGAUUAGAGUGGCAAACGGGUGUGAUUAACUACUGUGGUGCGACCUGCCUUCGACUGGGGGAUAACCUUCCGAAAGGAGGGCUAAUACCGCAUGACAUACCGUGUUUGGAUACACGGAUAUCAAAGCCGGGGAUCGCAAGACUGGCGCUUGAAGAGGGGCCCGCGUCCGAUUAGCUAGUUGGUGUGGUAACGGUCACCAAGGCUCCGAUCGGUAUCCGGCCUGAAGGGCGGACGGACACACUGGAACUGAGACACGGUCCAGACUCCUACGGGAGGCAGCAGUGGGGAAUUGUUCGCAAUGGGCGAAAGCCUGACGACGCAACGACCGCGUGGAGGAUGAAGAAUUUCGGUUCGUAAACUCCUUUCGACCGAGAUGAAACCUAGAGACCUAUACAUCUCUGGACUGACAGUAUCGAGAGAAGAAGCCCCGGCUAACUCUGUGCCAGCAGCCUGCGGUAAUACAGGGGGGCAAGCGUUGUUCGGAAUUACUGGGCGUAAAGGGUUCGUAGGUGGCACAUAAGUCAGACGUGAAAUCCCUCAGCUUACUGGGAACUGCGUCUGAUACUGUU
rnacentral:rRNA from 1 species